UUUUUUUUUUUUUUUUUGGAUCUUUGAGACAGGGUUUCUCUGUGUAGCCCUAGCUGUCCUGGACAGUACUGUCUCACUUUGUAGACCAGGCUGGCCUCGAACUCAGAAAUCCACCUGCCUCUGCCUCUCAAGUGCUGGGAUUAAAGGCGUGUGCCACCACCACCAGGCAUUUGUCAUACUUUUUAAAGAAAUUGUAGUUAAGGUUAAAAACUUGAUUUAAUCAUCAAUAUGACUGCAAAAAUCUUAGACGUAAAGGACAUUCUACUGUAGAGCCAUAUUUGUACUCUUAAAAUCAUUUUUUUUUUCUUUCUAAUGUUCUUGCUCUACAACUUCUUUUUUUAAUGGUUUGUUGUGGUGGUGGUGGUGGUGGUGGUGAUGGUGGUGAUUUAGGGGUUUGGUUGGUUGUUGAUGUUGCUGUGAUUUGGGGGGUUGGUUGGUUUUUGAUACUGGGGAUAAAAGCAAGAUUACCUCUUUCACCAUUUCUAUCUCUUUGAAUAAUUUCUUUACCUAUAGUUUAACAUAUGUCACAAAUUCUUUAUUUCUAUUAGUAUCAAUGAAUCACUUUCAUUUCUCGGGGAUAGUUUUGCUAGGUAUAAAAUUUACAGUCCUUUCAGUGCUUGAGAAAAAUCCCUGCCAUGUCUUCAUUGGCCUAGUUAGUUCACAUGGAAAAUCCUCUAUAGGCAAGGCAUUUAUCCCCACUGGCUGCUUUCCAGGUCUUUCCCCUCUUUUUAGUUUCCAGAAUUGUAGUUAUCAUGUGUCUUCAUGUUUAUGCAUAUGUUUAUUUAAUGUUUCUAUGACUUCUUGUGUCUAUAUGUUUAUCUUUUAAUAAGUUUUCAACCACGAUUUACCAUAUUUUUCAGUAUCCUUUUUGGGUUCUGAUGAUUAUAAAUGCUGUUUCUUUUUCUUUUCCCACAAGUCUCUGAAACCAUUCUUUUUUUCAAGCUAUUUUCUUUCUUUGUUCACAUUUAUGAUAUUUUAUUGUUCUGGAAUCAAGUUCACUGAUUCCACUCAGAUGUAGUGUUGCACAUAUUUAAUCUCACCACUCAGGAGGCAGAGCAAGUAUCCUUAUGAGAUCAAGGCCAGACAGGGCUACAGAGUGCAACUCUGUCUUAAAACAUAAAACAAACUUACUGAUUCCAUCCUAUCAUUCCAACUCUAUAGCUAAGCCCAUCCAAUGAGCUCAGAUUUUCUGUUGUAACACAAGUGCAGGCUAAUUUUUAUAUAAAAUAUUUCUUUGCUGAUAUUUUUGUAUACUCUUUUAUUUAUAUACUUUUAUUUAUUUUUAUAUACUCUUUUAUUUAUAUACUUUUACUUAUUUUUUUAUAUACUUUUAUUUUAUAUACUCUUUUAUAGGCUAAGUUCAGUAACACAAGUGCAGGCUAAUUUUUAUAUAAAAUAUUUCUUUGCUGAUAUUUUUAUAUACUCUUUUAUUUGUUUCAAGAGUAUAUGUAAUAGGUUGAAAACCCUGGGCUGAACCUAAGGCCUUGUUCAUGCUAGGCAAAUGCUCUAUCCCUUUUAUUUUGAAGGUCUCACAGUUGUUCAGGUUGACCUUGAACUCAUUCUAUAACCAGGCUGCCAUUCUUGCUGUUCUCCUACCUCAGCCAAGUGAUAAAUUCACAGUCCUGCAUCCACCAGGCCCUGAAAGGUAAUUCUAAUCUCUGAUACCACCACUACCACCUCAGCUGUAUGUUACCAUCACCUUCAAGUUGUAAUUUCCUGGCUCUUGGUAUGAAGGGUGGUGGUUUUUUAUUCUAUGCUGAAUUGGCUUUCAUGCUAAGAAACUCUGGGCCCUAUAAGAAAUAUACAUCCAGGGCUGGAGAGAUGGCUCAGUGGUUAAGAGCCGGACUGCUCUUCCAGAGGUCCUGAGUUCAAUUCCCAGCACCCACAUGGUGGCUCACAACCAUCUGUAAUGGGAUCUGAUGCCCUCUACUGGUGUGUGUCUGAGGACAGCUACAGUGUACUCAUGUAUAUUAACUAAAUAAUUCUUUUAAAAAAAAAAGAAAGAAGAUAAAAGAAAUACACACCCUAUUUAUGCCCAACACUCAGAUACAAGUCAGUAGUUAAGCACAUCAUAAUUUAUCAAUAUGAUGUAAUUCUACUCGCCAACAAAAAUGAAUUAUUGAUGUAUAGCCCAUGGAUAAAAUUCUAAGUAAUUAUGCUAAAUAGAGAAAACAAUUAUAUCCUGUGUGAAUCAAUUUACAUAUAUUCUAGGAAAUUUAGACACAUCUAUAAUCAGGAAAAAUGGAUUAGAAAGGAGGAGAUAUUAUUGACAGUUGAUGGAUUUUUGGGAAGGGUAAAUUGGUUUCCUUUAAGGUGAGGCCCUGGUAGGUCUACCACACUCUAGUGAAUGGCCUCAUAUCCAUGAAUACAUGGGCAAAAUAAAAGACUCACUGGGCUAUUUUUAAAAAGAAAGAAAAAGAAGACAUGACUUUGGGAACUGUGUGGUGGAGGAAAGAAGUAAGUGUAAAUAUGAUCAAAAUACAUUGUAUGUAUACAUGAAAUUCUCAAAGGGGAUUAAUAAAAUUAAUUUUAUUUUUUCAAAAAUGAAUAAAAUAUUCUACUUUUGAAAAAAAGAAAAGAGAGCAGGAAGUUGGAAGGUAGAAGCUGUGGUAAGGUAUAUGCAAAGUUUGGGGAUCUUGAUAUGCUCACUGUUUCAGUUAUAACAAAACUUACUGAUUUUUACUUUUAACACAGUUUAUUCUACCUUAAAACCAUCCCUCAUUUCUUAAUACCUCAUACCUAAAUAACAUUUUAUAUAAUGUUUUUUAUGAAGUCUAUGUUUGAUAUAAAGCAUAAAAUCCCCCAUAUGGUUUACUUAGAAGGAAAAUAAAUAAAAUAAAAAUAAGAAUGUGGUACCACACACAUUUAAUCUCAGCAGCACUCGAGAGGCAGAGGCAGGCAAAGCUCUGGGAGUGGAAAGUUAACCUGAUCGACAUAGGGAGUCCCAGGCCAGCCAGAGCUACACAGUGAAGAUAUAUUCAUUAAAAAGAAAAAGAUAAGCCAGGCAGAAAUUUAUCUGUACAUUCUAAUAAUCAUAAAAAUUAGUGUGAGUUGAAUUAAAGACCUAAGUAUUUGGGGGAAAGUCCACAACUGUGAUCAAUAACAGAAGAAAAAUUAACUACAAUGUGGGCAAAUGUCUAAAGCAGUCCAUCACUCUCAGAAGGGGACAGAUCAUGUGAGAAGAUAUUCACAUUAGCCACCUAAGACCCCAUGCGAUUCCAAGAAGAUGGGGAAUGGGGUCAGACAGUCCCCAUGUUGGUAAGGAUGUGUUAGAAGAAUUCUCACACUGCCCUGGGGCACGUGCUCUUACCUCCUUCAGUUUGGCAUAGCUUAGCCAUUCAAAGCCACGCCUCUUUGUGGGCCAGCUAUUUCAAUCCUACCAAUGGUUCCUGCAUCCUUCCACAGUGUCACACAAAUGUAGAGUAACACUACCUAAUUGCCAGGGGUUGGGGGCUGCAUACUAUGUGUGGAGAAGUUUGCAAACGUGCAAAAUAAUGUGGUAUGCUGAAGGACCCACGGGGUCAGAUAAAAGGGGUAGCCAUAGACUGUGAACACAGAAGGCGGUGGGGAAGCUGAACAGUCUGAGGAUGAACAAGCCUGCCCCCUGGUGGACAAUGGGCUCCUAGCCCCUGGGGGCUGUCAGAUUAACGUACUUCUUCACGUGAAUUAUAAAGCAAAGCUGUGGGGAUUUACAGGCUGGCUGAGAUGUGCGGCAGCUUCUGGGUCAAAUACAGAAAAUGAAGAGCGUUCAGCAGGAACAGCCUAGUCGGUCUAGAAGGGUGGCACUGUUUUUAAGAUCAAACACAAGACCGGCAAGGACAUGGGAGGAAAGCCUAAAUAAACUGCAGGAGCCAAUCAGGUGCCCUCUGCGGGGCUGGACCGUCUCCUAGCAACUGUGAGAGGGAGCCAAUCAGGUGCCCUCUGCGGGGCUGGACCGUCUCCUAGCAACUGUGAGCGGGAGUGAGAGAGGCAGUGCUACCCAGCCUUACCUGGAGCCCCGGAAGGCCUACAGAAGAGCUCCCCUUAGCAUGUCAGAAUCCUCUCUUGUUUCAACAAAAGACUCUUGGGGAAAAUACACAGACGAAGGAGAAGUCCUCAACAGCUUUAAGGUAUUGGCUCAGGUUCCGAGUAAAGAGAUCAUUUCACUCUUUCUUACUAAUUUGCUAUCUCAAUGACUCGUAGUGGCUUUCAGAUAAGAAAUCAGCUUAAUCACACAGGGACUCUCUUAUGGGAAAUGAGUCACCUCUCAUUUAACUGCUUCCAAAAGUUCUGUCUGUGGUUAUUAAAAUCGUGGUGUGGUGUUUUGUUUGGUUUGGUUAAUGUUUAUCUUACUUGGUGUCUGUGGGCUUCUUACAGGUACAGAUCAUUGUUCACCGACCUUAUAGAAGUUGCUUCUUCUCCUCCUCCCUGUAUCUUUUCCUACAUUCCCACUGUGAACAUCAGUAUAGCGACUGAUGCCCAGGGCUCUCUCAAGUUCUGGUUUUAAUUACUUGCUCUUGCAUUCUUUGUUUGCUCCUUAGAAUGGACACACAGCUGAACUAUCUCCAGUCUUCAGUCGGUCUACCCGAUAGGCUGUUGAACGCCUUUGCUGAAAUUUUCACUCCAGUCAAUAUGCUUUAUAACUCUAUAAUUUGUGGACUGUUUCUUUUUAUAAUUUUUCUUUACUGGAUUCUCUAUUUGUUGAAACACUAUUGACUUGAACUAUUUUGAUUCCAGGUCCGAAGUUCCCUAAGCUCUUUAUGCUGCGUUUCCUCCAGGUCACUUAGCAGACAGACAACUUAAGGGUAGGUCGGCAGCUGAAAAUAUCACCGCGGUCUCCAGCCACUGAGCAUCGGCUGUUUCUUUCUACAGUGUCUUCCAGUUCCGACUAGACUCCAUCAUUCUUCAGACACUGGUUCUGACUGCCUCGGUCAGCUCACUGCUUUCUUGAUGGGAAGACCUGGAUUUCUCUUUUAUGACAUUUUCAUUACAUACUCUUUUUUAACUGUUAUAUUCAUAUAAAAUAUCCACAGUUAAAUCCAUACAAUACAAAUUACAUUAGUUGUCUUAGAUAUUGUUCUAUGGUGGUAAAGAGACGCCACGACCACGGCAACUCUUACUAAGAAGAACAUUUAAUUGUGGCUGGCUUACAGGGUCAGCAGUUCAGCCCCUUGUAGUCAUCAUGGGAAGCAUGGUGGCCCACAGACAGACACGGUGCUGGAGAGAUAGCCAGACCUCCAUCCAGAUCAGCAGACAGCAGGAAGAGAGAGAGAAACUGGGCCUGGCUUGAACAUUUGAAACCUCAAAGUCCACCCACAGUGACACACUUCCUCCAACGAAGCCAUACCUACUCCAACAAACUCAUAACCCCUAUCCCUGUCAGGUAACACCACCACUACCUAAUGAUCAAGCAUUCAAGUCUACGAGCCCAUGGGAGCCAUUCCUAUUCAAACCACCACAGUGGCUAACAGAAGCUGGAAGAUGAGAGUAUGGAGUAAAAUAACUCCGCAAGUACAAGAUUCCUUUUGGAAGUAACAAAAGCAUUAUGGUGGUGAAGGCUGUACAAUUUAAUAUACACUAGUUGAUAGUAUACAAAAAUCCACUGAAUUACAUAUUUCUUAUGGGUGAACUUCAUAGUAAUUUUUUUCAUGUAUAUGAGUGUUUUGUGUAUCUCUGCACGACAUGCAUGCCGGGUGCAACAUUCAAAAGAGGAGGUUGGAUCCCCGGGAACAGAAGUUACUGAUAGUCAUGAAUCACCAUGCUAGGUCCUCUGCAAGAGCAACGAGUGCUCUUAACCACUGAGCCAUCUCUCCAGCCCCCAUUUUUAACAUUUAAAAUUCCAAUGAUGGGUCUUGUCAUCAAAUGAGGGUCUUUGCAGUAAUGGAGCUUGAAGUGUGGUGAUUUUUUUCUUUUUUUGUAAAACAUAUUAUGGUUUAUAGCAGACUUUGAAAAACAACCUUAAGAUUCAACGAAGGUCUGUUAAAUGGUUUCUAAUCAGCUAUUAUCCUGUACCUACCAGAUCUUUAAUGUCAUAGUUCAAGUUUCAACCAAAUUCCUUCAUAUAUAUGAUAUAUAUAGAUAUGCAUAUAUAAUACAUACAUACAUACACACAUAUAUAUAUAGUGUGUGUGUGUGUGUGUGUGUGUGUGUGUGUGUGUGUUUGUGUCUCGGAUGUGUCAGAUAUUUCUAUGCAAUUCAGAUCUGGUACAUAAUAUAGUAACUGAAAAUACAAUUUUAUUAACCACUGUUGACGAAGAACACUUCUCUAGGAGCCAGAUGUGGUGGGACACACCUAUGAUCACGCAUAUGCAGCCAGAGAAGAAGCUCAGCUGUCAUUUCUCAAGUGGUGUCUACCUUGUUUUUUGAGACAAGAUCUGUCAUUGGCCUAAGACUCAUUAAACGUGCUGGGCUACCUUGGCAGUGAGCCCCAGAGAUCUGCCUCUCUCUGCCUCCUCAGCACUGGGGUUGCAAUCAUGCACCACCACUUGAGUUGUUUUGACAUGAUUUAACAUUUACUUGUGUUGGUGGGGGGGGGGGUAACAUGUAUGUAUAGCACAGCACAUGUGUAGAGGUCAGAGGACAACCUGCAGGACUUGGUUCUCCCCUUCUACCAUGUGAGUCCACAGGGAUCAAACUCAGGUCACUGGCAGCAGGCGCUUUUACCCACUGGGCCAUCUUGCCAUCCCCUGACUUCGUGUAUGUAUGUGUAUGUGUAUGUGUAUGUGUAUGUGUAUGUCUAUGUCUAUGUCUAUGUCUAUUAUGUAUGUGAACAUGAACGCGGCUGCCCCAGGGAGGCCAGGAAGAGGGUUCCAGGUUCCCUAGAGCUGGAGUUACAGGUGGUAGUGAGCCAGCCAAUGUGAGUGACAGAAACCAAACUCCAGCUCUCCACAGAGCUUGCUUGCUUGUUUGUUUCAAGGCAGACAGGGUUUCUUUGUGUAGCUAUAGCUGCCCUGGAACUUGAUCUGUAGACCAGACUAGCCUUGAACUCAGAGAUUUACCAGCCUCUGUCUCCUGAGUGCUAGGAUUAAAGGCGUUCGUCAUCACACCCAGAACGCUCUUACCUGCUGAGUGGUCCUCCAGUGUCCCCUGACCCUUUCUUUAAAAAAAAAAAAAAAAAAAAUAUGGGUUCCCCAG